GAGGGUUGUGGUGUUCUACGUAACCCGCAUUUGCCUGCCGAGCUGCUAGUGGGCAACUAGUAUCUGCGUGUGGCUGUUCUGUGUCGAGACUCUGCUACGCAGAUUGUACCUUGUUACGAGGAGGGUCCAUCUUCGUACGUGGUGAUCAACGAACACACUGCCGUAACCGCAGUUUCCCCAGCCUCGUGAAGGUCGCACCGCUAUUUUGGGAUCUGAGUCCGGACAUCACGCUGAGGAGACGGCUUGAUUCAUCAAACAGAUAAGUCCUAUUGCAUUAUUUAGGUUUAUUCUUGACCAUGGUCGGAUGGUUUAGGGAAAUUGUACUCAUACUACCGUGUAUUGCAGACGAACACUAACUCAUGGUAUUUUAGGAACGGAUUAUAAGUGCGGUGACGAUCGUGACCCCACGAACACAACAAACUAACGAUUAUGGGCAAUCUUUUAUGCUAAAAAUUGUCUUGGUUUAGUUUUUGGUAAUUGUAGUGUAUACAUAAGUGGUCACUAAGUAUUAAAAAUUUUGUGGCCUUACAGUAUAAUUUUUGGAGUCGGCAACAUUACCAAUAACUUAAAGCUAUGAAUCUUAUAUUUUUUAACCUUAACAUUUGCUGAAAUAAUAUUACUGUACUGUUUUAUUACAAAAUUAUUAGAAAUUAAGAUUUAAAGUGCAUUCCAGCGAUUUCACUGUUUCUUAUUGUAUAACACAUAUACUAUUAUAUUCAGGUAUAAAGUUAAGCAAUCCUAACUC